rnacentral:sRNA from 1 species
ACUUAAACGCGAUUGCAGCGGCAGCUCCCGACGUAAAGUCGGGACUACAGCGGAAAGCGCGACUGACU